rnacentral:rRNA from 1 species
GGAGAGUGGAAUUCCACGUGUAGCGGUGAAAUGCGUAGAGAUGUGGAGGAACACCAGUGGCGAAGGCGACUCUCUGGUCUGUAACUGACGCUGAGGAGCGAAAGCGUGGGGAGCNAACAGGAUUAGAUACCCUGGUAGUCCACGCCGUAAACGAUGAGUGCUAGGUGUUAGGGGGUUUCCGCCCCUUAGUGCUGAAGUUAACGCAUUAAGCACUCCGCCUGGGGAGUACGGCCGCAAGGCUGAAACUCAAAAGAAUUGACGGGGGCCCGCACAAGCGGUGGAGCAUGUGGUUUAAUUCGACGCAACGCGAAGAACCUUACCAGGUCUUGACAUCCUCUGCAAUCGGUAGAGAUACCGAGUUCCCUUCGGGGACAGAGUGACAGGUGGUGCAUGGUUGUCGUCAGCUCGUGUCGUGAGAUGUUGGGUUAAGUCCCGCAACGAGCGCAACCCUUGAUCUUAGUUGCCAGCAUUAAGUUGGGCACUCUAAGGUGACUGCCGGUGACAAACCGGAGGAAGGUGGGGANGACGUCAAAUCAUCAUGCCCCUUAUGACCUGGGCUACACACGUGCUACAAUGGAUGGAACAGAGGGAAGCGAAGCCGCGAGGUGAAGCAAAUCCCAUAAAACCAUUCUCAGUUCGGAUUGCAGGCUGCAACUCGCCUGCAUGAAGCCGGAAUCGCUAGUAAUCGCGGAUCAGCAUGCCGCGGUGAAUACGUUCCCGGGCCUUGUACACACCGCCCGUCACACCACGAGAGUUAGUAACACCCGAAGUCGGUGAGGUAACCUUUAUGGAGCCAGCCGCCGAAGGUGGGACCAAUGAUUGGGGUGAGUCGUAACAAGGUAGCCAUAUU